CAAGACUCCCUGCCCAACUGCAGCAAGAGUGGUCCAGAUCCCUCAGCUGCUUUUUCAAAGGAGGGGAAGGAUAUUUUUGUCAUCAUCACCCUCAAAUAGAAACUAGAGUCUUAGAACAAGGGAGCCGUUUACUCACAUCUAGUCCAACCUCCUCAUUGUAGGGAUAAAAACACACAGCGGGGAAAAACAGCCCUAGAAAGCUUAAAAGAAAUAAAAUAUUUAAAGUGACAGAC
rnacentral:lncRNA from 10 species